rnacentral:rRNA from 1 species
ACGGAGGAUGCAAGCGUUAUCCGGAUUCAUUGGGUUUAAAGGGUGCGUAGGCGGCUUUUUAAGUCAGUGGUGAAAUCCUGUCGCUCAACGAUAGAAUUGCCAUUGAUACUGAAAAGCUUGAGUUCAGUUGAGGUAAGCGGAAUGUGUAGUGUAGCGGUGAAAUGAUUAGAUAUUGCAGCGAACACCGAAUGCGAAGGGGACUUAAUAGAAUGACACUCACGCUGAUGCAUGAGACCGUGGGGAUCGCACAG